rnacentral:misc_RNA from 1 species
ACUUGAGCGAAGUCAGGCAGAACUGCAAACAAAGAGACAGUAUGAGUGCUAUAAGUGCUUGAGUACAACAAAAUUCAAAACAUAAUUAUCUAUGACUCAGAUCAAACAAUAGUUUUUCGGCCUCUCUAUGUCUACCCAAAAAACAAUAAGCUAAGAUUAAAUGAGGAAAAAAAAGGAAACAACAAUACAAAAAAAGAUCAAAUUUUGUCACACAUAUAAAGGUCUGAAUUUUAUGAUGGCUUACUUGAAAUUACAAUUGCAUGAUAUAACACUCAUAAGUCACAGUAGAUUAAAAUCUAAGGUAAUUCUAUCAUAUAGUAAGCAAAAUGUACAGAACAACCUAAUAAGUGCCAAUUUGUGACACAACUGACAUCAGAGAAGAAAAGUCUAAUUUUCAUGGAUGCCUACUACAAAUACCAGGAAAAGCAUCCAAAUCAUCCAGUAGCCAGUAGGUGCCGUCAUCCAGAUGUUAAUGACUUUUGGUUCUUCAAACUUAACUAUAAAUUAAAAAGGAAAAUACUGGCAACCAUAAAAUACUACUAAAGGGACAGGCAGCCUUAUCAAUUAUUUAUGUGAGUUACAUGUAAUGAUGCUAGUGCUUAUUCAACAAAGACAGAUAACUACUGACAUGCAAACAUAAGUGGCAUGCGUAGGCUUUAGAGAUUUGAAACAAGUUACAUUCUAAUUUUAACUCCGUAAAUCCAUAUAGCCGACCCCAA